CACCGGAGCAGGAAAAACUCACCUAACUUUGCCAGCCUAGGACUUCAGGGGGCUUACCUUUCAUUCGUCUGCAUGGGGAAAACGACGACGAGUGGCCUUUGGGAAAUGGCACAGCCCAGCUGCAGGAGGCCGGAACCAGCCGUUGGCUUGGGCACCGAAGAGAAGAGAUGUCUGGCCACAAGGUAAAGGAAAACUCUGCAGUCAGCUAAGCACGCCUGGGGAAGGGUCACAGGCCCAACGGGGUCCUCCUUGCACCCCGAGGGCCCACACGACUUGGCAGUUACAGCAAGAAGGGAUCGGGGUUGGGAGAGCAGCUAAAAAGAUACGACUUGGGGUCAUUCUUGUAAUGUUCCAGCCACUUGCGGGUGCCCCCUCUCACUCCAGAUGUUGCUCAGCGGGCCUGGGGGAAGAAGGGAGCCGUGUGAUGCAGACAGAGAGCUCAGGGCAAGAGACGAAGGCCACACUCCAGGGCUGGAAGGGGCAGGGCCCCACCAGGGGCCCAUUUCUCCCCAAGGUGCCACAGGGCAGCUUCCUCACAGGGCUGGAUCAGGUAAGGCCCGCCGGGCCCCGCUGGGACCUCAUCGGUUGGGACUUUUCGCUGGCUGUGGAGAUGCACCACAGACCCAGGCAGCUUCGUGGCCUGGGGACCUGCCUAACCGCUCUGGGUGAUGUGACAAGGAGUUCUGGUCCCCCUCCCAGGUCCCACCUGCCCAGGGAGCUGCAGCGAGCAGCUGAAUGGUGUGGCUCCACCCUGAGCCCACAGGGA